CAGUCAUGCUAGUGAGGAAUCAACCUGAUGGUGUGUGGGCUUUCCCUCGUACUUUCAGGUGCACUUUCUCACCCGGCAGGUUAGCAUCAAUUUCGGUAUCAUAAAAAUUUGAGAGUAUGUGG
rnacentral:rRNA from 1 species